UGGUGAUAAGAGAUGAUGGGGAUAGGUUAUAUGAUCGAGGAAAGGCGAAUCUGAGCCCACUAUGCAAUGAACAUCAAACCCCUUUUAUUUGUAUUUAAAGGUGUUUCUUACUUAUGCUCCAGUGUUUAUAGCCGUCUUAUGUAAAGAUUUAUUCUCUCUUAUAACUUUAUUGCAUAUAAGUUGUUCUUGAUCUUUUAUUGUUUGUUGUUGAUCCUUGAUUUAGUCUGGUUAGGAUUUCUUCUCUGUCUUAUGUAAAGAUUUCUUCUCUCUCAUACCAAUUUUUUUUGCAUGAGGUUUCUGGAUAAUUUGCAGUUCGGUCGGUGCCGUGGCGGAGGGUUGUCUUAUGGUUUGACCGGAGAGGGAGCACACCGGAGAAGUGAUCUCGUCCCCAUUGGUCAGAUUAUCCAACCCCCUCUGCUUCGUACAAUUUUGUCGACUUAUCUGGCAUUUUCUCGGCCGAGUGGAACCAGCACAUCUACCUGCGAAUCUCCAGGCUAUGGUACCAGCAGGGUGGCUUCGAUGAUGGCCCUAUCAAGAGUAUACAUAUGGUCAUGACCGACGAAAAGGGUUAUAUGCUUCUUGCUGGGUUGUUUUAUUUGUUCUGAAGGCAUCAUCAUGUGUGAUUGUAGUUACAUUGCCUCCUUCACACUUACAUCCACCAUCAAUCAGGUAGACACUCCCUUUUUUCCAAAUAAAAUCAAGUGAAUGUUGUACUCCCAAACCAAUUAGCGCGUUUCGGUUUGAUAAAUACCGUGCAUUGAUCCCUGCACUUUUGACAAAUUUAUAUUCUCAUGACAUCUCCGGUUUACUCCCGUUUUUUUGUGUGCAAGGAUCGUCACAUUAUGGUGCCAUUGUUAAAGCCUGUUGUUUCCUUGGACCUGCAUUGUUGCAGGUGAUUCUCCUCUACCAUUCUCUGUUUUCUAUGUUGGCAUUCAUGUGGUUUCGGAAUGAAUUGUUUGUUGCCACAACUUGCCAUAUUUUUAUCCCCUGGUUUAAGUGUAAAAGUUCAGGUUUAAGUGGUUUCUACCUCCUUGUAAUCUGCUGCUUCGUUGACUCGGCUGUCCAUGCCCAUUGUUUGUGACAAUGAUCAUUAACAACCACUAUCAAUGUAUGUAUGCUUUGUAGGCGCUCCAUUUUUAGAGGAACUACAUCUUUACAGUCAUUUUCGCUUUAAGACAAUGGUCAUUACCUAUUGCUAUGUACGACGCAUAGGUUAUUGCACUAUUAAUUUAUUUUUUAAUAAAAGAUGGUCUACUCUAAUCUCUACCUCGAUUAUGUCAUGUUGGGAGGCCAUUCCAAAGGAUUGUUGUGGCAGAAUCGACUGGUCUCAAACAAAGUUCAUCGUUGUAUUUUCAUGAGAUGAGACGUGAAUCUCUUCUAAUGAUGGUUGUUGAACUGUUGAUCUCUAUGUUUGUUUUACCUGAUAUAAUGUUCACUUUGCUUAUUAGAACUAUAUAGGUUUCUUGCAACUCUACUAUUUGUAAUGAACUUGAUGCGGAUAUGUUGUCUUGGGCAACCAUGGUGCUUUGCUUUGGCAACAAAUUAAAAAUUUCUUCUUCGCCAUGCA